UUUAUCAAAGUUAAAAGGAUUCUAGGGCUUUUAUGUUUGCGUCCUCGUCAUAUGUUGAUCGAGUAAAGGAAAGAAACACGAACGUCAGCCGGCAAGAAAAUCACGAAGUCUCCUAGUCACUAAUCCGAUGUUUUGGUUGAUCAAUUGCGAGAAGGGUCUUUCUCCGGGGAUCGAUGAGGUCGAAGGGAGGGAAGGGACGAAGCAGCGAGGUUUCUCUCUUUCUGGCCUGGCUAUGAGGUGCGAAGGGAGAAGGAGGAAAUGGGUCCGAUUGAAGCGACGCAAGUAGCAGCGACAGAGCACGCGAGGCGCCGACGGUCGUUGGUCGAUGGGAGCAGAAGAGAGUGUGUGAGGGGAGGAGGUCAGAAGAAGGGUCCAGUAGGAGAUAGGAAGUAGAGAUCGUUUAGGCUGCUGAGAGGAAGUAAAGUGCGAUAGGUGGGGUUGCUGCCUCGAUGGUUCACCGUAGCACCACCACUGCCGGUGGUUCAUCACAGGGGACGAAGAAAUAGGCAAAAAAACAAGGAAGAAAGGUAAUCAAAGAAGAAUGAAGAACAACAAUAAAAAUCUUUAGGAGUUUGGGUGUUGCUGUGAAAUCGGUGGGAAGGAAGGAAGGGGUUUGAAAGAGGUUGUUUCCCUCAUGGUUGCACAUGUAAUCAUGGUUGCACAUGUAAUGACUCCUCUAGACGCAUCUCCAUUUUUUCCCAUAAAUGAACUAAAAAAAUUGGAGGAUAUAAUGUUUCAUUUUUACUCUACGAUUUUCUAUCCUAUUUUUUAUCUGAAAAAGUAUAUUUCUAAAAUAUUAUAUUUUUAUAACUUAUAUAUAUCGUCAAAUACACCUUUUAUAUAUAUUGUCAAAUACACCAUCUCCUGAUUAAACUCUAUAUUUAUGAUUAAUUAAUAUAAAUUAAUAUAUAACAUAUAUUAUAAAUAUUAACAUUGCAUUUAAAUUAUAAUUAGUAUAUAAAAUAAACUAGAAAUGUAUAAAAUAAAAAUGAGAAGGAUUAAAAUUGACAACCAAACUUCACCUUUAUUCUUAGAGAUUAAAAUUGGCAACCAAACCUUUAUUCUUAGAGAUAUGAAUAGUAUUUCCCUAUGGGGGAAUACUAUUCAUAUCUCAAAAAUAGAGGUGAAAAUGAGGUAGGGUUGGAAAACAAUAGAGGAAUAAAUAGAGUUUGGGGGUGGGUUGGAGAUGUCCUGAUGUGUGUUCUUGGCUGAAAACGAAGGCUAAGAAGAAAAGAAACAACAAUAUUAUGGUGUUUGUUCUUGGAUGAUCACGAAGAAGCAAAUAGAAAAAAAAAAAUUGGAGUUGUUUGGUUGUUUUUUUUUUAUCAUUGUACAUGUUAGAGUGUUGAUUUUUAUCGAUGUACAUGUUUGUUCUAGCUCCUUUUCACCUCUGAAAACAUUCACAUCAAAUCAAAAAAUGGAACAUGAGGUUAUAGGUUCUAAAUAAAACUCAAAUGGUGAGAUAAGAGGGGCAUGUGUUAGAGACGUUGGCUUAUAAGGUGAUUAGGCUUUUCAUCAUUGAAGACAUUUCAUUGCAGGAGAAAUCCCCUGUGGAGGUCCAUCAAGUCCUAAAAGAUUCCCGAUUGUAGCUCCUUGAGUUAAAAGAACUGCAGUCAAUGCUUGCCCUAAAGCAGGAGUCAAUGGUGGAUGAACAACAGGGUUAUAACCACCCACUAAUGAGCCUCUCCUACACCACCAACACCAUCACCUAUGUUUUUGAAGGGUAAUGAUCGCCACCAUUUCCAUACUUUUGAUGUUGAUGAUGGUUGUGAUGUUGCUUUUGUUGUUGGACCAUCAACAACCUUUUGGAAAUAUAAAUUGAGGGGCUCAGAACCCUAUGUUUGAAGAGUAUAAAGGCAUAACCUUUAGAUUUUCUGAUGACCUUAUCUACAACAGCUUUACAAUCUUCGAUCUGACCAUACUUGCCAAACUCUCUAGUUAGAAUCAUAACAUUGGUAUCUCAACCUAUACCCAAAUUUUUUUUGUAAGAGUACGAGUAAGAAGGUUGUGUAAUGAUUUUGAUUUUUGGUGUUUGAUUUAUGAUUUUGAUUUUUGGUGUUUAAUUUUAAAGUUAUAUGUAAGAGUACGAGUAAGCAGGUUGUGUAAUGAUUUUGAUUUUUGGUGUUUAAUUUAUGAUUUUGAUUUUUGGUGUUUAA